UGCACAAGUCUCCUGGAAUGGAGCGUCAUAGAGGGUGAGAAUCCCGUCUUUGGCACGGACCCCAGGGCUUCUGUGAUGCGCUCUCGAAGAGUCGAGUUGUUUGGGAAUGCAGCUCAAAAUGGGUGGUGAACUCCAUCUAAAGCUAAAUAUUGGCGAGAGACCGAUAGCGAACAAGUACCGUGAGGGAAAGAUGAAAAGCACUUUGGAAAGAGAGUGAAACAGUACGUGAAAUUGUUGAAAGGGAAACGCUUGAAGUCAGUCGCGUCGUCCGAGACUCAGCCUUGCCUCGGCAUGGUGUACUUCUCGGUUGACGGGUCAGCAUCAAUUUUGCCCCUUGGAUAAUGGCGAGGGAAAUGUGACACCUUCACGGGUGUGUUAUAGUCUCACGUCGCAUGCGAGGGUCGGGAUUGAGGAACUCAGCACGCGCUUCUGCGUCGGGGCUUUGCCACGAUACGUGCUUAGGA
rnacentral:rRNA from 1 species